UACGUAGGGGGCAAGCGUUGUCCGGAUUUAUUGGGCGUAAAGAGCUCGUAGGUGGUUCGGUAAGUCGGAUGUGAAAUCUCCAGGCUCAACCUGGAGGGGUCAUUCGAUACUGCCGUGACUAGAGGUCGGUAGGGGAGUGUGGAAUUCCUGGUGUAGCGGUGAAAUGCGCAGAUAUCAGGAGGAACACCGGUGGCGAAGGCGGGUCUCUGGGCCGAUAUUGACGCUGAGGAGCGAAAGCGUGGGGAGCGAACAGG
rnacentral:rRNA from 1 species